rnacentral:rRNA from 1 species
UACGAAGGGGGCUAGCGUUGCUCGGAAUGACUGGGCGUAAAGGGCGCGUAGGCGGAUGGUACAGUCAGAUGUGAAAUUCCUGGGCUUAACCUGGGGGCUGCAUUUGAUACGUGUUGUCUAGAGUGAGGAAGAGGGUCGUGGAAUUCCCAGUGUAGAGGUGAAAUUCGUAGAUAUUGGGAAGAACACCGGUGGCGAAGGCGGCAACCUGGUCCUUGACUGACGCUGAGGCGCGAAAGCGUGGGGAGCAAACAGG